GACGAACGCUGGCGGCGUGGAUUAGGCAUGCAAGUCGAGCGAUAUCUACCUUCGGGUAGUGAAAGCGGCGAACGGGUGAGUAACACGUGAACAACCUGCCCUCACAUUCCGGAUAAUAGACCGAAAGGUCUUGUAAUACGGGCGAGGAUUCUCCUUUGGCAUCUUAGGAGAAGGGAAGGCGCAAGCCGUGCGAGGAGGGUUCGCGGA
rnacentral:rRNA from 1 species